CUUUUUUCUUUUUAUAUUGAUACCACCCAAAGUUGGCCUCUUCCAAUUAUAUAAUGCCUAGCUAAUAUUAUCAAAUGAAGAAAAUCCAAUCGACCUCCUUUUCUAUUAAACGCGUCUGGGCCAAGCACAAGUUCACACUUGAAUGGACCUAUAAAUAGGAGUGCUAGCUGGUGGACAAUGGCCUCAACACAGACAACAUAUCUAAUCUGCAAUCACCAAAAUGAAGACUAUCUCGCUCAUUAGCUGCAUGCUCCUGGCUUUCCUUCUUUUCUCGUCCCCUUCAAUUAUGGCUCGUGAAUUGGCUGGUCAUGAUCAUAAGGCCGAUGGUGCUACUGCUGGCAGAAGCAAGAAUAAUCCCAACGUGCCAGGAAAAUCGUGCGGAAUCCCCAAAGAUAAUCCAACAUAUGCUGCUUGCAUAGGGAAACAGAAGCCCAAGAAAUGCAGUCCAAAAGACAAAUAUAAUCGUUGCAAUCCACAUCAAGGCUAAGGAACUUGAAUAAGCAGAGCUUUUUAUGAUCGUGUGCUAAUGAAAUUAGUAUGAUUAAAAUAAUAGAAGUUAUCAGUACUACUGGCGUUAACGCUGCUUCUCGUGAUGAUGAUGGUCGAUGAUCAUCAUGAGAAGAACGUACGUACGUACAAGUUUGAGAAUAAAUAGGUUUAGUUCGAUACCUUAUCGCCAUGUAAUGGAUGGAUGAUCAGCUCGAACUUCCUUUGCAGUGUACGUGUCAAUAAAAUUAAGAACGUCGUCUGACCGACUUAGUUUUGGUCAGCUCGCUUGUUUUCUUAUAA